CUUCACACAUUUCCCCCAGAUAAGGCAGAUAUUGCUCAUCAAUUGCCACAUUUGUUUCAUGGAUUCAGUUGAGGUUCAGUCUCAACUCUUCUCGUCCUAAUACUCCAGGCAACACUGACAACUAAUUAGAAUUGACAUCUAAAUAUCUCAAUUAAAAUCUAUUUGCUUGGGUAAGCAUAUGCACAGAAGAAAAGAAAGAAAAAAUCUAUUUUCAACCCCAGGAUUAGAUUUAAUCACUAAAAAAUCUAGUUCUUGAGAGUUUUUUGUAUUUGGGGUUUUUUUUUUUUUUUUUUUUUUGAAGAUGAGGGCUCACUAUUUUACCUUGAACUCCUGGGCUCAAGCAAUCCUCCUGCCUCAGCAUCCCAAAUAAUUGGGAUUACAGGCAUGUGCCACUGCACUGGCCUUAGAGUUUGUUGAGGAUCCCAAAUCUUAUUCCUGGCACUUAAAUGUUACAUUCCCAAUGGCAACAUUCUUUAGAUGACUCCAAAGUUCCACCUCUCUUUGAAUACACGUUAGAAUUCUAACCUCCUGAGUUUUGACAUGUACCAAGAAAUAUCUUCAGGUGUGGAGAUAAGGGACGGUUUAUCUAUUCCCUCUUUUCCUUUCAUUCUUUGGAGUGAGUAGACCUGCUAUUUCCCAAAAUUUCUACUAAGUUGGCCCUUAGGAUUUUAGUUUGAUUUGAGUUUAAGGUGGACAUCAUAUCUGUUCAUAUUUUAUCUGACUUAUCCACCCUUCAGAACUCUGAGAAAUAGUCACUGCAUAGUUACACAAGUUCCCUAUAUAAAAGGGAUCCUGUAAUCAAGUUUGGGGACCCUGAAUCCAAUGUUUCACUGAAAUAUUCAUAGUUUGCAUUAUCAUAUUAAAUGUUGUUUUAAAAAAUACUGCAGUAAAUAGAUAGGCCUAUUCAGUUGUGCCUAAGCCAAACUUCUGGGGAGCACUGAAACUUUGUUUUCUGUUAUCUGUUAACAGAUGGAAUGACUCUUCUAAAGAACACGCUGUAGGAAGUCUGAAUAUAUCCAACCUCUUGCCUCAACCAGAAACGAAACUUACAAUGUGAAAGACGAUGACCACCCUUUAUAAAACAUCCUCAGGUCUGAAAAGGCUACCAAUUCCCUUCAUGACCUCUGUCUAAUCCCCACAGGGUCAAGUUCUUACUUUGUCUAAUCGAACUCUCUCUUGCAACAAUUCAUUCCCUGCAUGUUAUCUUUUCCCUCUUACUCUCUCCCUUGUGGAUAUGGAGAAGUCAACAGCCUUCUCUUUAAGAAAACCAUCCACAAAGGCUUAAAAAAAAAAAAAGAAGCAAAUAUGAGAAUAUUCCUCCCUAGAUUAAUGAGUUUCUCAUUGCCUUUAAGACAAUCCAAAUGCUGGGACUGCCCUUUCUAUUUCAUAGAAUGGGUUGUUGCCUGAUUCCCUUGUCCAGCCUUGCGUGGCAUGAGAUUGGAGAAGACCUUCAAGCAGUGUCACUCCUUCGAACAAAGAGUGGGGGUCCCACUUAUCUGACAGCAGCAUCCUACCAAAAUCCCAGUGACAAAAGAAUGACACAGGCGUGAAAAGCAGCUUCCUGUCCUGGAAAAACCAAGUAAUUUUGUACCUGAUCAGGUCAACAUGAGUAAACUCGUCAAGAUAAUUAGAAGGCCCUUAAAGCUCGAUAGUAAUCAAGCCCUCUUCCUAGUGGUGAGCAGAGACAGCUUGGGAAAAGCAACAUAACUGUACAUGAACCCUCAACUGAUCAUUAAAGGGAUUCCCAUCACCUACUCUCCUCGCUGCAGGUGUCUGUCCACAUGUCUCACUUUUGAAAUGGACUAUACUUUUACAUUCACUACUUCCUGAAGAGUCCAACUGAAUUAUAUUGGGUAACUUUCAUUCACCAGGUAUCCAGUUUUGAAUGCGAUCACAACAAAAGAUCUCUUUCUGAAUUGUAUAGAUUGUGCUAUAUGUUACCACACUUUUGUUUAUACAUUUAAUUUAGUGAUUACAUUAAAAACUCAGCUUAGUAUAAAGGCUGC
rnacentral:lncRNA from 10 species